AUGAUUUUGACGGCAAUGAGCGAAUAGAGUAUACGGGAAAGACAGAGUCGCAAAAUGGAAGAAUUCCUGGCGGAAACACCCACUAACGCGUAGGAAAGUCUAUAGCAACUAGCAAGUGUUUAACAAGGCUCAAGCAAGGGUAGCACAUGCAAGAAUGUUAGAACUUUCGGUUUCCAUUAUUGGUGGAGUUAUGUUGCGGCGAGCAACCAGACUCAAGGAAUGCAUCAUUUUCCAGGUCAAGGUUCGUGAAAAGGAAUAAGGAUGAACGCUUUGAUACUUUGAUAUGACAAUGCUAAGUCACUGUCAUUAGAAGUGACAUGAAUUCUGUCUUGGAGAAAAAGUAAAUUAGGUUGCAAAUUUCACCAAUAAUGUUAGCUGAUGAGUCCAAUUUAAUACUAAUUAUGAUCUUAUCCACCAUGACAUUACCUAUAUGAACCGACUUUAAUAUGUCUGCCAGCUGUAAUGGCGUUCUAUUCUGCUUUGUUUUUUCUUAACUACGGUUACUCGUUUGUUGACUCACCAAGUUUCGUGGUAGUGUGAAAUUUCGAAUCUCGUACCAAUAAUUUACAAUUGAAACAGUUUGCCAGUUAAAUUGGAAAGAUUUUUGUUGAAAAGA